rnacentral:rRNA from 1 species
AACGAACGUUGGCGGCGUGGAUGAGGCAUGCAAGUCGAACGUGAAAGCCGCAAGGUGAGUAGCGUGGCGGACGGGCGAGUAACACGUAAUCAAGCUGCCUGCGAGACGGGGAUAACCUCGGGAAACCGAGGCUAAGACCCGAUGGUCUGCCGAGACCGCAUGGUUUUGGUAGUAAAUGGGCGGGAUCCUCCGGGAUCGCCUGCUCGCAGAGGUGAUUGCGGCCCAUCAGCUAGUUGGUAGGGUAACGGCCUACCAAGGCAACGACGGGUAGCCGGCCUAAGAGGGUGGUCGGCCGCACUGGGACUGAGACACUGCCCAGACUCCUACGGGAGGCUGCAGUCGAGAAUCUUCCGCAAUGGGCGAAAGCCUGACGGAGCGACGCCGCGUGGAGGACGAAGG